rnacentral:tRNA from 1 species
UGGGAUGUAGCUCAGUGGCAUAAGCAGCUGCCUGGUAAGCAGAAGGCCCUGAGUUCAAUUCCUAGUAUUAAAA